AGAGUUUGAUCAUGGCUCAGGACGAACGCUGGCGGCGUGCUUAACACAUGCAAGUCGAACGGAAAGGCCCUGCUUUUGUGGGGUGCUCGAGUGGCGAACGGGUGAGUAACACGUGAGUAACCUGCCCUUGACUUUGGGAUAACUUCAGGAAACUGGGGCUAAUACCGGAUAGGAGCUCCUGCUGCAUGGUGGGGGUUGGAAAGUUUCGGCGGUUGGGGAUGGACUCGCGGCUUAUCAGCUUGUUGGUGGGGUAGUGGCUUACCAAGGCUUUGACGGGUAGCCGGCCUGAGAGGGUGACCGGCCACAUUGGGACUGAGAUACGGCCCAGACUCCUACGGGAGGCAGCAGUGGGGAAUAUUGCACAAUGGGCGGAAGCCUGAUGCAGCAACGCCGCGUGCGGGAUGACGGCCUUCGGGUUGUAAACCGCUUUCGCCUGUGACGAAGCGUGAGUGACGGUAAUGGGUAAAGAAGCACCGGCUAACUACGUGCCAGCAGCCGCGGUGAUACGUAGGGUGCGAGCGUUGUCCGGAUUUAUUGGGCGUAAAGGGCUCGUAGGUGGUUGAUCGCGUCGGAAGUGUAAUCUUGGGGCUUAACCCUGAGCGUGCUUUCGAUACGGGUUGACUUGAGGAAGGUAGGGGAGAAUGGAAUUCCUGGUGGAGCGGUGGAAUGCGCAGAUAUCAGGAGGAACACCAGUGGCGAAGGCGGUUCUCUGGGCCUUUCCUGACGCUGAGGAGCGAAAGCGUGGGGAGCGAACAGGCUUAGAUACCCUGGUAGUCC
rnacentral:rRNA from 1 species